rnacentral:lncRNA from 1 species
UUCAUUCUCAAACACACACUCUCUCUAUCUCUCCCAUCCACUGCUCUUCCUCUCUGCUUCCUCAGUUGAUCUCUCCCUCAUUCUUCUCUUCCUCCUUUCAACUCUCCUUCCUCUCUUCCUUUCUCCAACCUGCCAAGUCCAUGGUUGUAACAUGGACUUACCUUUUCAAAGGAUUACCACAAGAGGCGUAGGGUUUGUGAUGAAUUUAUUUGACAAUCCCCAUUUUUUCCCUCUCCAAAUCGUAUGCCUCUUAUCUCUCUGCUCCUCAUCUAAUAUUCCUUGCUUUCUCCAUAAACUUUCGAUCUCUGCUUUUCAAAUACAAGCCAAAUAGUUUUUUAAUAUGGGAUUCAUAUGGAGGUCGCACGGUCUAGACAUCCAUCUUUGUUCCUCUGGAUUUCUUUAAUAGUAAGUAUUCAAUUUCUUCCUUUUGUUUUUUUCUGUUUCUUGUUUAAUUCUUUGAGUGCUGAAAAUGGUAGAUUUUUUUUUUUUUUUUUAUGUAUUGAUUAAAAUUUUUAUUUCUUUGGUUUGUUGACUAUGCUAUGUGAAUUAUUUGUUGACUAUGCUUUGUGAAUUUUUGAAGAAAAAUUGGCUGAUGUUGUUCUUGAAUUUAUGUGGUAAAGAUCUUUGGUCUUUGGAUCUAUACUCUUUAUUAAACCCUUGGAUCUCGUCUGUUUGGUUGUGUUCGGACAGGUGCUCGUGGCCGGAUGUUACAAUCGGUGAGGCGUCGAUUGGUUGAUGGCGAGGGUUUGUGCUAGUAGGGAUGCUCGGCGGCGGAUGCUGCAGUAGAACCCUAGGUUUUCUUUUGUUGUAUUUUAUGGCUUGGGCCUCUGUAUUGUUUGUUGGAUCUAUUGGGCUAGUUUGGCAGGUCCUCUUUUGGGCUAGAUUACUAAUAUCCAGAUAUUAA